CAGGGACUCUUAACUAGGCUGGCUAAGGCUGUGAUUAAUGAAAGUGUAAUGCAAGCUACUGUACAGCCAUUAGAAACCAGUUAGCUAAUUAGUGUAAUCACAGAGGUGGAAAUAAUUAAGAGACCAUAAAAUAGAGGUAACCUAAUAACAACAUUUUCCUCUGACCCAGAGCUGGUGAGAAAAGGAUGGUUUGUUAGGUUAGGAACGGAGAGGAGUGAAGAUGGAAUGUUCUGUGAGUAAUCACUGUCAGGGAGGUCUCAGAGCACAGACAAGUAGAACAGAGCAGAUUUUACACCAACAUAAUCCAGACUGCAGCAGAAUCCUCUGGCAAUGGAGCUUCACACCUCUGCAUUCUCUCCCAUUUUAUGCACUGCCACAAUUCAGUGACAGACAAUCGAGACAGGGUGAGGCAGAAGCAGGCUGCCUUGCUCUUUCUUACUUUGUUCCCUUUCUUCUUUCCCAGGUUAAUAGCAAAUAUAAUAUUAAAACUAACUUCAACUUGCAAUGCCUGAGUCGGCCAGGUUUGGUUUCAGGAAAAGGAGAAAUCAGUGUCCUAAGUUUCACAGGACUCUACAGCUGGUUGAAACAUCUCAUGCUAAGAGGGAAGAGUCUUUCUGGGCAGAGGAGAAUGGUGCAGUGA
rnacentral:lncRNA from 12 species